rnacentral:rRNA from 1 species
UACGUAGGGGCCUAGCGUUGUCCGGAUUUAUUGGGCGUAAAGAGCUCGUAGGCGGUUCGGCAAGUCGGAUGUGAAAUCUCCACGCUCAACGUGGAGGGGCCAUUCGAAACUGCUGUGACUCGAGUCCGGUAGGGGAGUGUGGAAUUCCCGGUGUAGCGGUGAAAUGCGCAGAUAUCGGGAGGAACACCAGUGGCGAAGGCGGCCUGCUGGGCUACUGCUGACACUGAUGCACGACAGCGUGGGGAGCAAACAGG